UACGUAGGAUGCAAGCGUUAAUCGGAAUUACUGGGCGUAAAGCGUGCGCAGGCGGUUGUGCAAGACCGAUGUGAAAUCCCCGGGCUUAACCUGGGAAUGGCAUUGGUGACUGCACGGCUAGAGUGUGUCAGAGGGGGGUAGAAUUCCACGUGUAGCAGUGAAAUGCGUAGAGAUGUGGAGGAAUACCGAUGGCGAAGGCAGCCCCCCUGGGAUAACACUGACGCUCAUGCACGAAAGCGUGGGGAGCAAACAGG
rnacentral:rRNA from 1 species